GAUGAACGCUGGCGGCGUGCCUAAUACAUGCAAGUCGAGCGAACAGAUGAGGAGCUUGCUCCUCUGACGUUAGCGGCGGACGGGUGAGUAACACGUGGAUAGCCUACCUAUAAGACUGGGAUAACUUCGGGAAACCGGAGCUAAUACCGGAUAAUAUAUUGAACCGCAUGGUUCAAUAGUGAAAGACGGUUUUGCUGUCACUUAUAGAUGGAUCCGCGCCGCAUUAGCUAGUUGGUAAGGUAACGGCUUACCAAGGCAACGAUGCGUAGCCGACCUGAGAGGGUGAUCGGCCACACUGGAACUGAGACACGGUCCAGACUCCUACGGGAGGCAGCAGUAGGGAAUCUUCCGCAAUGGGCGAAAGCCUGACGGAGCAACGCCGCGUGAGUGAUGAAGGUCUUCGGAUUGUAAAACUCUGUUAUUAGGGAAGAACAAAUGUGUAAGUAACUAUGCACGUCUUGACGGUACCUAAUCAGAAAGCCACGGCUAACUACGUG
rnacentral:rRNA from 1 species